GUCGAAAGAUUGGCUAAUACCGCAUACGACCUGAGGGUGAAAGCGGGGGACCGCAAGGCCUCGCGCAGCAGGAGCGGCCGAUGUCUGAUUAGCUAGUUGGUGGGGUAAAGGCCCACCAAGGCGACGAUCAGUAGCUGGUCUGAGAGGACGAUCAGCCACACUGGGACUGAGACACGGCCCAGACUCCUACGGGAGGCAGCAGUGGGGAAUUUUGGACAAUGGGGGCAACCCUGAUCCAGCAAUGCCGCGUGUG
rnacentral:rRNA from 1 species